AACGUGUCCGGUAAUGGGGGAUAGCCCGGCGAAAGCCGGAUUAAUACCGCAUACGACCUACGGGUGAAAGCGGGGGAUCGCAAGACCUCGCGUUAUUGGAGCGGCCGAUAUCAGAUUAGCUUGUUGGUGGGGUAAAAGCCUACCAAAGCAACUAUCUGUAGCUGGUCUGAGAGGACGACCAGCCACACUGGGACUGAGACACGGCCCAGACUCCUACGGGAGGCAGCAGUGGGGAAUUUUGGACAAUGGGCGCAAGCCUGAUCCAUGCAUGCCGCGUGUGG
rnacentral:rRNA from 1 species